AUCAUACGUAAUAACAUAAUUCUUUCGCUUCUAGUAACCGAUGAUCGAACACACAGGCCAAGCCAACAUCACCAACAACAUCGCCAACAUCACUGUCAAUCGUAACGUCGUGUUUACACGUUGAGCUUGGCUCUGUUGCAUUUUUAACACACGCAUAUCCCACGGAACGGCACCCCCGAGUAACAAGUGAACGUUGAAGUCGUCUCGCAAUGUAGGUUAACACGAUUCCUUUUCCGUUGUUCCCUUCGUUUGUUCCAGCCAUUCGACGGUCAGCCGUGAUUUAUGAAGACACGCGAAAUCAUCUUGUCUCGACAUUUUGGCCUAGAGCACGACAUUUUCGUCCGAAAGGGAGAACACUUUUGCCUGAUAUUAAGCACAAUCGACAAACGAGUUGAAUGGAAAAAGGUUAAGGGUUGCGAGAUAAGGUUAUACACACUGUGCCGAGUACUGUUUUAUACUUCACGAAGUUUCUUUUAUGGAGCGUUUAAAAAUUUUAAGUAAACUAUGGUGGAUAGUUUUCCUUUUUUUUUUUUUUUUAUUAGACUGGUGUAUAUGAAAUUCCAUUUGUGUGAAAGUAAUUUUUCUAUGAUUUUAUAUACGUAUAUAUAUUCUUUUUUAAUUUUUUUGAUGCAAUUAAAAAUUUUUUGAUCUAAAAUUCGAUAAAUUUUCACAAAUUUUCUCUUAAUUUCAGUUGAUGGAAUGAUUAACAAUUAGGCAAAAUUUGAUCGAAGAACGAUAUUUCAUAUACAUCGAUACUAACUCUAUUUUUUUCUAUCUAUAGACUGACUAUCUUUAUCUAGAGAAAGCUCGUGUGGAUCUAUAGUAAUCUGGAAUGAUUCAUAGUACUUGAAGAGAGUAUCGAGAAUAUCAAGGUCUCGUUUAUUAUUAAUUAAUAAUCAUCAAUGUUUUGUAUUACUAAUUAAGGAUAGGAUAAGAAUCUAAGUGGAAUGUUCCCAUCCAAAUUAUAAUAAAACCAUCUGGUCGCAAUGUUUUCUGGCGCACGUGGCGCAUUGGUAAUUGAAAUUAUUUCGCAACAAUGAACCACGCAGUUGAAACACAGGAUGUAUAAUUAAAGUUCAAGAUCGAGGUCGAGGUAUUGAUCGAACCUACGCGAAGACUACAAAUUUUCUUCCGAGAAGCUAAGAGGG